rnacentral:rRNA from 1 species
AAAAGAACCCCGGCGAGGGGAGUGAAAAAGAACCUGAAACCGUGUACGUACAAGCAGUGGGAGCACGCUUAGGCGUGUGACUGCGUACCUUUUGUAUAAUGGGUCAGCGACUUAUAUUCUGUAGCAAGGUUAACCGAAUAGGGGAGCCGAAGGGAAACCGAGUCUUAACUGGGCGUUAAGUUGCAGGGUAUAGACCCGAAACCCGGUGAUCUAGCCAUGGGCAGGUUGAAGGUUGGGUAACACUAACUGGAGGACCGAACCGACUAAUGUUGAAAAAUUAGCGGAUGACUUGUGGCUGGGGGUGAAAGGCCAAUCAAACCGGGAGAUAGCUGGUUCUCCCCGAAAGCUAUUUAGGUAGCGCCUCGUGAAUUCAUCUCCGGGGGUAGAGCACUGUUUCGGCAAGGGGGUCAUCCCGACUUACCAACCCGAUGCAAACUGCGAAUACCGGAGAAUGUUAUCACGGGAGACACACGGCGGGUGCUAACGUCCGUCGUGAAGAGGGAAACAACCCAGACCGCCAGCUAAGGUCCCAAAGUCAUGGUUAAGUGGGAAACGAUGUGGGAAGGCCCAGACAGCCAGGAUGUUGGCUUAGAAGCAGCCAUCAUUUAAAGAAAGCGUAAUAGCUCACUGGUCGAGUCGGCCUGCGCGGAAGAUGUAACGGGGCUAAACCAUGCACCGAAGCUGCGGCAGCGACGCUGAUGCGUUGUUGGGUAGGGGAGCGUUCUGUAAGCCUGCGAAGGUGUGCUGUGAGGCAUGCUGGAGGUAUCAGAAGUGCGAAUGCUGACAUAAGUAACGAUAAAGCGGGUGAAAAGCCCGCUCGCCGGAAGACCAAGGGUUCCUGUCCAACGUUAAUCGGGGCAGGGUGAGUCG